GCAAGUCGAGGGAGAAGCGUUGGUUCCGUAAGGUCCCGACGUGGAAACCGGCGAACGGGUGCGUAACACGUGAGAAACCUGCCCCCCAGACCGGGAUAGCCCAGGGAAACUUGGAUUAAUACCGGAUACUCUCUUUGGAUCGCAUGAUCCGCUGAGGAAAAGUCCGCUGCUGGGGGAUGGUCUCGCGGCCUAUCAGGUAGUUGGUGAGGUAACGGCUCACCAAGCCGAAGACGGGUAGCUGGCGUGAGAGCGUGGCC
rnacentral:rRNA from 1 species